GAUGAACGCUGGCGGCGUGCCUAAUACAUGCAAGUCGAGCGAACAGAUGAGGAGCUUGCUCCUCUGACGUUAGCGGCGGACGGGUGAGUAACACGUGGAUAACCUACCUAUAAGACUGGGAUAACUUCGGGAAACCGGAGCUAAUACCGGACAAUAUAUUGAACCGCAUGGUUCAAUAGUGAAAGACGGUUUUGCUGUCACUUAUAGAUGGAUCCGCGCCGCAUUAGCUAGUUGGUAAGGUAACGGCUUACCAAGGCAACGAUGCGUAGCCGACCUGAGAGGGUGAUCGGCCACACUGGAACUGAGACACGGUCCAGACUCCUACGGGAGGCAGCAGUAGGGAAUCUUCCGCAAUGGGCGAAAGCCUGACGGAGCAACGCCGCGUGAGUGAUGAAGGUCUUCGGAUCGUAAAACUCUGUUAUUGGGGAAGAACAAAUGUGUAAGUAACUAUGCACGUCUUGACGGUACCUAAUCAGAAAGCCACGGCUAACUACGU
rnacentral:rRNA from 1 species